UCACAGCAAGGUUACCAAGAAGCAGAUGGGCUGUGAAGGAGACGAACCCUCUUGUCUAAACACAAAUAGCAUUGAUAAUUAAUUAGCUGAAGCAGCAGGGGAAAUUAUGAAAAUAUGUAAAAGUGUGAAAUUCCAAAGGAAGCACUGAUUCCUUUGUAAAUGCACAUGACAGGAUGCAUCUCAUCUGAUGGCGGGUACCUGCCUCUACCCCGCACCCCCAUCUGAUACACAGCCUCUUCUAGAAGGAGCCAGGGAGAGACGGUGUAUAAUUACUUGUCCGGUGAGGUUUUAAAUUGUGUAACUGUCUAUCUACAAAGGGAACAUGGCCAUUCAUUCUUCCCCAGAAACUAAAGUUAAGGAAACCAAAGAAAUAUUACUGCUUGAUAUCAAUAUGUUAUUUGAUCUAAUUCAAGGAAGAAAUGAAGAAUGAGAUCCUUGGCUGCUACAAUACAAACCUUGAUAUGUUCAUCCCGGGUCAACCAUACACGUUGUUGAUGACAGCUGGACUCCCAACCUUUCUGGACAUCAAUAUUAAUGUUUGCAGCUCCUGGCAGUGGCUGGUAGAGGUUGCAUUUCAUAAUUCAGACAUAAAAAUUAAAAGCAGAGGCACACAGUAGCAGAACCAUCCAUCCAGUUUUUGAUGAAAGCCCUUCAAGGGGCUGGGGAUUUAGCUCAGUGGUUCUGCCAUCUACUUCACAAGCACAAGGUUCUGAGUUCGAUCCCCGAUACCACUCCCCCAAACCCC